rnacentral:misc_RNA from 1 species
GCGCUGCGCAAGCUGGCGGAUGACGUUAACGUGCUCUACACCGCGAUUAAGCUUUAUCUGGCGCGAAUGCCAAAAGACGAGCUGGCGGCGGAGGAGUCCCGCCGGUGGGCGGAGAUUAUUGAGAUGGCCCUGAACCUCGAACAGGCGUCGGAUAUUAUCGAGCGAAUGGGCAGCGAGAUUGCCGACAAGUCGCUGGCGGCGCGUCGGGCAUUUUCAGAAGAAGGAUUGAAAGAGCUGGAUGCGCUUUACGAUCAACUGCUCAGUAAUCUGCAACUGGCGAUGUCGGUCUUUUUCUCCGGCGAUG